AACCGGUGGUGCGGCACUCCUGGAGCUAUCUCAGCCGCCUGCCGGAUGAGUGCUUGCCACGGCAGAGGCACCUGCUAAACAUGGGCUCAGGUUUGCUGAAGAGUGAUGACCAGGAGGCAAUGUGGCGUGGGGCAAUGAUGCUCAGUGAGAAUGCGAAGAACAUGAUGUGUAUCUGUGCUGCUGCUCAAGAUGAUGGUGCGAUGGACUGAAGCUUGCACUGAUGUAUUUCCGUUAUUUAUUAAUGAAAAGGGGCGAUGUGCGGUUCAAAAAAAAAGUAUUAACAUUGCUGAUGUAAGGAUGGUCGGCACAUCUGCGGGUGAAACGUGACUAAUAUAUAUCCUGUGUGUUUGAGCUGAGAA